rnacentral:rRNA from 1 species
UCAAAACUUUCAACAACGGAUCUCUUGGUUCUGGCAUCGAUGAAGAACGCAGCGAAAUGCGAUAAGUAAUGUGAAUUGCAGAAUUCAGUGAAUCAUCGAAUCUUUGAACGCACAUUGCGCCCUCUGGUAUUCCAGAGGGCAUGCCUGUUUGAGCGUCAUUU